rfam:Defluviimonas alba strain cai42, complete genome.
CGGGUUCUGCCCCUCUCGUGCGAGGCACUUUUCCAGUGGCCGAUAAGCAUCUCCGAGGGAGCUGGCUCUGCCGGGAUCCUGGUCCCGGUAUCUGGCGCCCACCUGGUAAAACCAGGCUCUCGGGAAAUUAAGCCUUCACGGCUGCCGCGGAUCCCGC